rnacentral:tmRNA from 1 species
GAAGUCAGGUUGAAGAACUAACGGACGCGGGUUCAAUUCCCGCCGCCUCCACCA